GACGAACGCUGGCGGCGUGCUUAACACAUGCAAGUCGAGCGGUAAGGCCCCUUCGGGGGUACACGAGCGGCGAACGGGUGAGUAACACGUGAGCAAUCUGCCCUUCACACAGGGAUAACCUCGGGAAACCGAUGCUAAUACCUGAUACGACCACUUCAGGCAUCUGAUGGUGGUGGAAAGUUCCGGCGGUGAAGGAUGAGCUCGCGGCCUAUCAGCUUGUUGGUGGGGGAAUGGCCUACCAAGGCAACGACGGGUAGCCGGGCUGAGAGGGUGACCGGCCACACUGGGACUGAGACACGGCCCAGACUCCUACGGGAGGCAGCAGUGGGGGAUAUUGGACAAUGUGCGAAAGCCUGAUCCAGCAACGCCGCGUGAGGGAUGACGGCCUUCGGGUUGUAAACCUCUUUCAGCAGGGACGAAGCGCAAGUGACGGUACCUGCAGAAGAAGCACCGGCCAACUACGUGCCAGCAGCCGCAGUAACAC
rnacentral:rRNA from 1 species